GCGCGACUCCCCGCGUUCCCCCGGACCAGGUGCUUAUAACCCGCGAUGCGCGCUGCCAGCGCCCUGCUCUGUCGCCAGCCACCACCGCCUGGGCCCCGAGUGAUUCACCGAGCCGUGAACACAGAUUCCAGGAGCCGGGAACCCACACCUCCAGUCCAGACAAGAUGUCCAGCAAGGGCUCCGUGGUUCUGGCCUACAGCGGCGGCCUGGACACCUCCUGCAUUCUCGUGUGGCUGAAGGAGCAAGGCUAUGACGUCAUUGCCUACCUGGCCAACAUCGGCCAGAAGGAAGACUUCGAGGAAGCCAGGAAGAAGGCCCUGAAGCUUGGGGCCAAAAAGGUCUUCAUCGAGGAUGUCAGUAAGGAGUUUGUGGAGGAGUUCAUCUGGCCCGCCAUCCAGUCCAGUGCACUGUACGAGGACCGCUACCUCCUAGGCACAUCUCUUGCCAGGCCCUGCAUCGCCCGCAAACAAGUGGAGAUUGCCCAGCGGGAGGGGGCCAAGUAUGUGUCUCAUGGAGCCACAGGAAAGGGCAAUGACCAGGUCCGGUUCGAGCUCACAUGUUACUCCCUGGCCCCUCAGAUUAAGGUCAUCGCUCCCUGGAGAAUGCCCGAGUUCUACAGCCGGUUCCGGGGCCGCAGUGAUCUGAUGGACUAUGCGAAGCAACAUGGAAUUCCCAUCCCAGUCACCCCCAAGAACCCAUGGAGCAUGGACGAGAACCUCAUGCACAUCAGCUACGAGGCUGGAAUCCUGGAGAACCCCAAGAACCAAGCGCCUCCAGGCCUCUACACAAAGACCCAGGACCCUGCCAAAGCCCCCAACAGCCCUGACAUCCUGCUGAUUGAGUUCAAGAAAGGGGUCCCCGUGAAGGUGACCAACGUCAAGGAUGGCACCACCCACUGUACGUCCUUGGAGCUCUUCACAUACCUGAAUGAAGUUGCGGGCAAGCACGGCGUGGGCCGCAUCGACAUUGUGGAGAACCGCUUCAUCGGGAUGAAGUCCCGAGGUAUCUACGAGACCCCAGCAGGGACGAUCCUUUACCAUGCCCAUUUAGACAUCGAGGCCUUCACCAUGGACCGGGAAGUGCGCAAAAUCAAACAAGGCCUGGGCUUGAAAUUCGCCGAGCUGGUGUACACGGUUCACAGAUGUCCGAGGGGCCUGCCCAUCCGAGGGAGUGGACUCUUCCCAGCUCUUGACCAAGACACCAGUGGCCACAGCAGCUCUUGAGUCCAGGACCUCCCCACAAAAUCAGUCUGCUAGUCCUGACCCCAAACCAGCACCCCACUGCCUGGACUGGGCCCUCCCAUCACUCCACCCCAGGUGACACAGGCCUGAGUAUCCUGUCUGCCACCCUCAUAAGACUGAGCUCCCUGUGUGCAGGUGACAGGGUCCCUUCACACUGUCCUCAGCUCCUGGCCCCCGGAAUGUGUAUGGCAUGAAGCAGCAGGUUGCUCCCCUUCUUCUGACCCUUGGGAAGUGCCUGUCCCUACCCACAGAAGCCUGUCACGUCACAGGACAGGGGCACCCAAGCUCAUUCCUUGAUGCAGCCAUUUAUAAGUGCCCAUUGUGCUAGUACUCAGCAAACGAUCUACCUUACCAGGCUCACGGUCUGCCAUAAACAGCACCUUUGUUUUCCCUCCACACAGGUUUCUGGCACAGCCCUGAGUGUGAAUUUGUCCGCCACUGCAUCGCCAAGUCCCAGGAGCGUGUGGAAGGAAAAGUGCAGGUGUCUGUCUUCAAGGGCCAGGUGUA